CUUCCCCUUUCUCUAUAUCCAGAAAACAGGAAUGUGUUGUGCAUUAUAUUGCCAUCUUCAAUCUGGUCUGCAGAGAAGUUCCCUUAUGCCUGCCUUAUUUUACUUUAAUGCUUUCCAUUUGGGGUUGGUGUUUGAGAACGUUUCGAUGGGUCAUUUCCAAUUGCAGGUGGAGUCGAUGCGUUCAAGUUUAAAUCUCUCUCGCUCCCCGCAAGCAGAGCUUCACGUGUGGCUGAACCUGCCCACACACCCUCUGCUGUGCUUAAUCACUGGCGUGCAGCUGCCGUCACCCCAAUUGCAGUUACACGCUGCAGGGGUGCCUUGCCCUUUCUAGUGUUACAGCAGUCAUCCUUCGUGCUCUCAGUGUGCCGAGACCGUGGGACUCUGGAGAGUCGAGUCAAGUCCCAGCCUGUUGCAGCUUCCAGCCUGCAGGAGACGAAUGUGUUGCAGCAGCUGGCAGACGGCUCAGGGUGCUGCAGCAGAGGAAGGAUGCUCUGCUAAACCACGAAGGAGCAAAACGGCAAAGGUACAUAAGACCACUAGACUGCUUUGGGGCUUUUGCUAAUAAGUGGCAAUUAAAAUUCCAUCAUCUUGUGGACACCGCCACCGAUUCCCAAGAGAGACUGCAGGGAGGGAGAGAGUUCCGUUUAAAAUAAACAGGCACACAGGAAAGGAUCUUGUCUUCGUGCGGAAGCCUUGGAGCACCUCCUGAAUAACAGAUGGCUGCAGAAAACCUGGCAGACAAGCAGCCCAACAGUGUCCUAGUGGGGAUCAGCAUCUUCCAGUGCGCCCUCUCCCUGGGAUCAGCCCUGGAUUCUCAGGUGCGGGAUGAGCAGAGAUGAAGUGUCUGGGGCCACCAGGCAUACCUCGCAGGAGAAGCGAGGUGGUCUGUGAGGAGGCAGGAUCUUUUGAAGGCAGAAGAAAAGAGAAGCAAGUUGUGCUUAGACUGACCAGACAGAUGCUGAAAUUGCUCCUGGCUGAAAGCGCAGAAACAAGCAGCUGUGCUGGUGAAUAACUGUCAGAUGCCUCCAUGUUCAGCUCGGCCGUGAGCAUCGCUCGCUGGGACCGUGGGGCAGUGCCCUUGUGCCACAGCCAUGUGUCCCCAUCGACUUUGUAAGACAAGAAGCAAUGAGCUCUUUCUUCACUGUUUUAGUGCUCUGAAUUAAGGCAGAAUCUUGAUAAUGUUUGUGAUGACUUGAAUAAAUACCUUGUACUCAUUCGUUAAUGACAUGGGUCUCACUGGCUUUGGUAGGUACUGUUUUGCUGUGAUUUAUUCUGCUGUAUCUAAUAAAUGGAUUUUUCUUA